CUGACAUGAGUAACGACAAUGCGAGUGAAAAACUCGCACGCUGAAAGACCAAGGGUUCCAGUCCAACGUUAAUCGGGGCUGGGUGAGUCGACCCCUAAGGCGAGGCCGAAAGGCGUAGUCGAUGGGAAAUUGGUUAAUAUUCCAAUACUUCUGUGUAAUGCGAUGAGAGGACGGAGAAGGUUAAGUCAGCCUGGCGUUGGUUGUCCAGGUGAAAGGAAGUAGGCAUGCAUCUUAGGCAAAUCCGGGGUGCUCUAUGCUGAGAUCUGAUAGCAAGCUGUACUUGUACAGCGAAGUGGCAAAUACCCUGCUUCCAGGAAAAGCUUCUAAGCGAUAGUCAUAAAGAAAUCGUACCCUAAACCGACACAGGUGGUCAGGUAGGGAAUACCAAGGCGCUUGAGAGAA
rnacentral:rRNA from 1 species